AUGGCAACCAAAUCGACUCAAAGAACGGGACCUUCAUUCUUCAACUUCCUAAAGGAAGGCCUCCUGCUCCCGACCCGCAACCGGAGGCUCUUCUUGGCGGUCUACGCCAUCAUCAUCGCCUCCACCGCGCUGCUCCUCCUCGGCGGCGACCUCGCCGUCCAGCCCCUCGCCGACGAGAUCCAGCUCGACGCCAAGGCGCUGAACAGCACCGACCCCGGCAGCCCGGACUUUGCCAAGCUCGUGCAGGAGAUCCAGGAUGACACCAAGGCGCUCCUGCUCGUGGGCGCGGGGUACCUCCUGCUCGCUGUCGUCGUCAGCUCGGCCGUCCGGAUCGUCCUCCUCUUCGCCGCCGUCUCGACGUACUCCGGCGAGGAGCAGCACGCUACCUUGGGCUUGGGUGCGCUCCUGGGGAAAGCCAAGGGCCCUCUGAUCACGCUCGCCUUCGUCUACGUCCUGGAGAUCGUCUGCACCGUGCUUCUGGCGUUCGUGGGCGCGCUUCUCGGCGUCCUCAUGGUCAUGCUGAAGCAGUACUUCGCGGUGCUCCUCCUGGCGUCAAUUCUAAUCCUCGCUGCGGCCACCGUCUUCCUCGUGUACUUCUCUUUCCUGUGCUCUUUCAGCAUCGUCGUGGCGGUGGCCGAGCCCGGCUGCCACGGCGCGGCGGCGCUAGGCAAGGCGUGGAGGCUGGCCAAGGGGAAGAGGAGGCAGGUCGUGCUGUACGUCGCCGUUACCGGUGCCCUGGCCGCCGUCUUAUCGCCGGUGCACACGCUCGCAAGGACAUGCGCGGGUGAUCAUAGCGUCGCGCUUGGGCUGCUCCUGGGUUUUGUGUACGCGGCUCUGAUGGCACUCGUGCAGUUGUUCGCCGUCUGCACCAUGACCGCGUUCUACUACGAGCGCAAAGAGAACAGCGAGAACCAGUUGGGGGCUACUGGAUACGCCAAGUUGUCCACGGAAGAAGCAACCGCUUGA
rnacentral:rRNA from 1 species